CAGAAUCGAACCUGGGACCCUUCAGUCCGCGGGUGACGCUCUAGUCACUGAGCCACCCCAGCCACAGGGCAGGCCUGUGUGUGAGAGAAUGAUUGUAUCCAGAAAAGCGAGCGCCUCCUGGGAGUGUCUGUGAACUCACUGACCGAGACCGAGACCGAGACCACGCUGCGCCCGGCAGAGAGGAAGUGGGCAUCGCUUUGCCCAGAGAGCAGGGGCUCUGCUGUUAACCAGCCUUCUGCGUGCGUCCCCGUGGGUACUGCAGGUCGCUUGUUGCUGACCCGGGGAAAGGGUCAGCGUGUGGUCCACAGGGACAGCAGGGAAAGAGGAGAAAAAGAAGAAAGGAGGGCUCAGGACCCUGCUGCAAGCAAGCCUGUUUCAGAUUCUUUGCGUGGUGUGACCCUCCUGUCACAGAUGCUCUGGCGAGUCUUCCCGCAGUAGAGGAGGAGUGUGUAAACAGUGAAGCCCCAGGACACGAGAAAAACAACACGUUGUCUUUACACCAGCCGGGCCCACCUGGUGGCCAAUCACCAAGCCCUGGCGCCUCGACGGGGUGGGCGGCAGAGCAGGAUCAGACUCCCGUCGCCCGCUGUGCUGCUGCACUCGUCCUUCCCGACCGACCGGGAGCCAGCACGCAGGCUGCACCCUGUUCUCCUUCCGCAACGGCACCCUCUGCUGUCCGGCACCUCGGGCCACACCGGGAAGAUUAAGGGCCGGGCCCUGCUUCCUGUAGCCAGCAGCCUUUGGGAUGGGUGCAGAGGUCUUCUUAGAACAUCGGACCAACUCAGGGUUUUACAGACACAUGAGCCCUGUGACGUGGGAGGCCUGGCCCCACAGGCAGGAUCUGGUGGGGGAAGCGGGUCUGAACAGGAAUCCUUCCUCACCUGUCAACACCCUUGUCUAGCCUCUUCCUGUUCACACCCAUUGCCAGUCUCCCAGGAGGAGGUGGCAUCCUGGGGCCCCCGGUUAAAACUGUCUCCUGUGAUACAUUUAAGAUGUGGGGCUUUCAAGAGGGCACUGCCCGAGAAGCAGCUCUGAUUGGCAAAGUGAGCUGGUUGGGUAGGCUGUGCACUCCGAUAGGUGGUCUCCAUGGUGACAGGACACCAUGUUCUUGCUGUGCAGGCCUGAGCGGCUGCCGACUCAGCCCUCACGUUGCUCAUGGGCCGGAGAACAAGCAGUGCAGAACAUGUACUUCAGGGAGAAAGCUAGUCGCACAAGAUGUGUCAGCACACAGCUGGGGCCGCUGGCCUGGGAGUGUGGACCACAGCGCAGUUGUCCCAGUGAGCAGCAUAGAGUGGUGUUGGCUGGAGUGGGGCGCACAGGAGUGUAGGAGCAGCAGACCUGCAGCUGGUCCCCAGCCCCCCCCUUUUGUCUCAUCCUGACCCACUGACGGGGCAGCUCAGCACCUGACCCCAGAGCGAGG